UCAGAAAAAGAUCUGGAUGUGUUUGACCUGCAGAAAUACUCUGCUUCAGAGGAGGCUCUUCUGAGGCUGCUUCCAGUGAUCAAAGCAUCCAAGAAAGCUCUGUUGAGUGUUCCUGAUCUCUCAAAGAGUGGCUAUGAAGCACUGUCCUCGGUUCUCAGCUCCCAGUCCUGUAAUCUGAGAGAGCUGGAACUGAGUAUCAGUGACGUGCAAGAUUCAGGCGUGAAGCAUCUGUCUGCGGCAGUGGGGUAUCCACAGUGUACAGUGGAGACUGUCAGACUUACUCUCUGCAAUCUCUCAGGGAAAAGUUAUGAAGCUUUGUCAUCAGUUCUCAGCUCGGGGUUAUCUGGUCUGAGAGAGCUGAAUCUGAGUAACAACGACUUACAGCCUUCACCAGUGAAGCUUCUGUCUUCUGGAGUGAGGUGUCCAAACUGUAAAGUGAAUACUCUGAGCCAUUGACAUGUCGGAAGAGGUUAACACAUGAGGAG